rnacentral:lncRNA from 1 species
AAACCUCCCAGACUCGCGCGUCUUCUCUGGGCUGCGAAGGACGGGGCGUCCCUUCACAGCACUGGGGAUUCCAGGCCUGCUAGCUAACAGCUUCGUUUCCCACCGCAGUGGAAAGACGGCCAUCAGGCCUACAUCCACCCCAAUGCCUUUUCCUUCCCCACCCGAGANUGGAAGAAACCAAAGGCUUUAUUUUUUAAAGGUCUCUGCGUUCUUGUUAGCCGCCUUGAGUCCUGACGAAAUAGGCGGAAUACAAGCCAUCUUCUUAGAACGGUAGACACGAUUGCCUGGUGAAUCUCAAUGGAGAUGCAAUUAACAGGUUUUUCUCUAUCCCGUCAAGAGAGGUGGGAAGCUUCUGCGCCAGUUGAGCAAUCGCACGGAACUCUUGAUCAGGGAUUCAAAAAGAGCGCCGUGAGACCGGAAAGCUGGCGCGUGCUCUUCUCUCAAGCUGCUUUGGUUCAGGAAGAAGAGGAAAGAACGCAGACAAACAGCAGUCGACAAACAAGCAGCGUUUCUGGCUCGCUCUCAGCGGACUUUUGAAUUGCGUCCCUCGGAAGGAAUAAUUUUUCGGACAGGGAAUCAGGGAUCAACAAGCUGCCCUUUCUGCGGGGCCUCCGCGUAGAAGCCUCCGUUUCUGGACGAGGGGGGGUGGCAGAUAUUUAGUCGGUAACCUUCGAGGAAAGAAGUUACUUUAGUUUCCAGUCUCUUUCUUGUUAAGAACCCUAUCCGUCGGUAAGCGUUUCAGAUAAGGGAGCAAGAGGGAAGUGGAGAGAGAGGGAGAGGCAGUAAGACCAAAACGGUGUGCGGGGGGAGGGGGGGGGCAGAGACAGAAAAGAGCGAGGGAAGAAUCUGGGAAGAACAAAGAUACUCCCAGCCCCUUUGAGACUCAGCACCAUCCCCCAAGCCUGUAAAACUCCACACGUUUGUCCCCGUACAAGGCCCCCAAGUCAGUUGGGUACCAUCAAGUCGGUUCGACUCCUAGAGGGCCACACGAAGUUUNCUUGGCAAAGAUAUAGAAGUGAUUUGCCAUUGCCUCCUUUCGGCGGCGGGGGGGGCGCCGCGGAUCGAACCUGGCAGGUUCUGUUUUCCNGACAGUUUGCUCCGCCNCUGANCUACAGCCGCUCCCCAUUUGCCUUUAUCAGCUGUCAGAAGUUUCCCAAACACUGAAAUAAAUGAAUGUCACCCAACUGAUCUAUGCCUUUG